CAAGAAGGAGGAGUCACCUAAAACCGGUUCGCCUGUUGCCGACACGCCAGUACUGUCCUGUGUUUUUAGGAAAAGCCAGUCCGAAUUUCGUUUCAAAUCGUAUCUCGUCUGGGAGCUGGAGCCGGGGCCACUCGGUGUCGUUCGGUGCCUCAAGCCGCAAAUUGGGCGGAAUGCGCGAUGAAUAGCUCCGCUCGCCAUGAGCUCGGACGUCUCUGCUGCUACCGCUCAGUCCAACUGGCAACACAUGAAUCUCAUAAGUCUGUCGGCGGUCUUCGCCAAAAUGCUGCACUUUUUCUUCCCUCUCAAGAAACUGCGUCGCAAUGCGAAGUACCUCAUAUUUACCUCCUUGCUGUCAAUCGGCUUCUUUACAACCUACUUUUACUUCAAGGAAAACGCCGGUAACUACGGACUUGCUGCCUAGCAAAUUUCCUUUGCCACCUCAUGUCCUCACCAGCCUUCCUUUUGAAAGAUGACUCCUCUCUGGGAACAUGGGACAGCACUACAGACGUUUACUUGGAUGUGGGGAAGCUGUGUUGUGGUCCUCAGUUUCCUGCGUAUUAAACUGCCCCCCAUCAUGUGCACCCCAACUCCCCAUGUCAUCACAAUCAAUUUACCCAAACCCCUAACACCCCUGCAGUUUGCUCAGUUCCCCUACUUUGGUGUACUGGGAGAUUGGAUGAGGGCCAGGUCACAGGAGACCUAUUGUGAACCUUGACUUUGUUCAAAACUUUGUUUCUGUGUGCUUCUGUAUGAUUAAUUAAUAUGUACUGUGUGAUCUCUCCUUAUCAGGAAAGGGGAGUGACUUAUUAUCAUGAGUCAUAAAUUUAUCAUGAGUGUGCUAGUGCUGAUAUUGCCGUCAGAAUAACAUCGCAUGAAGUAUGUAUUCAUUCACAUGCACUGCCGUGAAGGCUGCCCUUAUCUGAAGAGGAAUUAGGACUUGGGACGUCCUCAGCUGUUUGUUUUUGCAUAUGGCUAAUGGGUAGAACAUUCUGUUGGUUGUAACCAAAAAGGGUCUCUAAGUUCUCUUGUUUUUUAAUGCAGGUCACAUGACUCUGAAUGUUUAUUUGCGGUUUUAACUUAACCAAGCACUUGGCUGUGUGAAGGAGAGUAUUUGCAGGGGCUCUGUAAUGCACGGCCUUACCCGGCCUCUGCUAAAAACGGGCCUCAACUAACCGACUUGAAUAAAAUUUGAAACCUA